rnacentral:rRNA from 1 species
UACGUAGGCAGCAAGCGUUGUUCGGAGUUACUGGGCGUAAAGGGCGCGUAGGCGGCCUGGCAAGUCUGUGGUGAAAGCUCGUGGCUCAACUGCGAGUCGGCCAUAGAUACUGCGAGGCUCGAGUCGACUAGAGGCAGAUGGAAUUCCGGGUGUAGCGGUGGAAUGCGUAGAGAUCCGGAAGAACACCGGUGCGAAGGCGGGUCUGCUGGGGUCGAACUGGACGCUGAAUGCGCGACGAGCGUGGG